CAGGGCCCUCUGGACUCUCCGGGCUCCCCAUAUGGGCUGAGCUCCUCCAGUGCAGAGCUCCACUGGGACCCAGGGCCCCAAGACCUGAGGAGACAAGGCCAUAGCUGCAGGCAGAUGCCCUCCAUGGGGCAGGAGACUUGGGAUGGGGGGGUGGAGGGGACACGCUCCAGCCCCCACUCGAUCGCGGCCCUUGGAGCCCAGUGGGCAUAUGGGUGGGAGGAUCUGGCUGCCUUGCUGAGGGAAGAACCCCACGGGGAGGGGGCCGAGAGCUUCCUUCUGCCCAACAGUCACGACUGCCCCCCCCCCCCAAGCCCGCAGAGACCUGCAGAGUCCGCCGGCCAGCUGCAGGGGAUGGCCGCCGUAGGGCCGGCCGGAUCCGGACAGAUUGAAUCUGGGCCCUUGUGCCUGUUAGGCAAGCACUCUACCACUGAGCCACACAGCCAGCCAAAGCCUGGCUGUCAGUGGGGUACAUACAGCUGUAACCCCGGAAAAGAAGGAGAAGCCAAGGAAGCAUUUGGGAGGUGGCUUCGAUGAGGAGCUAUGGUCCCCCUCCUCCACCGUGCAAUCUGUAGAUUCAUUCCCAGGCCAAGAGCUGUUCCCGGCCAGCAAGUCAGAAGCGUUGGCAUGUUUUAUCUGGGCCAGGACAGCCCGCAGGCAGCCCCUGGCCCAGGCCACACUGAAUGCUUUAGUACUGUGAAUGAACCACAGCAGGGAGAUAGGGCCGUGUGGAUCUGUGGACACUAAGCAUUCACGUGGCUGAAGAGCUGAAUGGACAGGAAACACCAGCCUGGGAGGAUGACAGGAUGACCAAAGUUGUCAUAGGCUGCACUGAGAAGCAUCUGCCGCCCUCUGGAGCAGAAUGACCUACCCGCGGCUUUUGUUCUUGUGUCUUUUUACACAAAGAACUGAAGUACAGCUGUUGAGACACGUGCAUCGCCAUGUCUGCAGAGAAGACACCCGGCUACAGCAAGGCAUCCAUCGUCUACCCACGACGGAACCUUUCAGUCCCUAGCCUGGCCUGCUACAUCGUACCAGCCUUGUCUGCCACCUUGUGGCUAAAUGUCACCUCUGCGCUUAGUGACAACAGGUAAGGACCUUGUUCUCUAUCUCACAGAAAGCUGGUCUAACGCUCUUGUUUACCGAUGAGUACGAGUCCAUUUUGGACUGGGGUGCUUCACGACUCACCAAGGGGUGUAAACUACAGCCAGGGAGGUGCCUGUGGGAGAGGCCUCUGUCCUCAGGUGGACCCAGCAGGCGCUCAGGUCAGGUCAGAGAGAGCAGACAUACAGUGAGAUGGAGUCUCCUCUUGCCAGAUCAGGGAAUUCUUCUACAAUCUCUUGGAUCCCUGGAAGAUCUUGACACACCCAGGGGCUAUCCCACUUGGACCAAGCCCCUAAAAUAGAGCAGGGAAACCCAGUGAGGAAAGGAGCAGGUUAGAAGAUCUCUCACCGCCAGCUGAUCCUACACGACAAUUCUAGGGUAAACUUAUCCCAAGAGCAAGCGGAUCUUCUGGAAUGUGAGGACGCAAAAAAUUGACAAGUAAGCCAAACUGGGCUGGAAAAUGGCCUUGAUGCUCUCUCUGGAGACUGUGGAAAUCUUGCAUGACUUCCUCAUUCGCCCAGCAGGGUAUAGCCAUGUGAAGAUUGAUUCAAGUAGGUGAAUCCUAGCGCAGAACAAACCCCUAAAGAGUGGCCACCAGGUUCAGGAUUACUUCCUUACUUUUUUUUUUUUUUCCCCGGAGCUGGGGACCGAACCCAGGGCCUUGCGCUUCCUAGGUAAGCGCUCUACCACUGAGCUAAAUCCCCAGCCCCACUUCCUUACUUUUAGGAUGGGACCAUAACAGCCAUCAAAUUAGCUGGAGAAAAGAUGUUCUAUGCUAAUUAAAAUGUUCCAGGUCUUUGCCUAAUGCUGCAACCACCACCCACACUCGGGCUACCCAGCCUUUCCACAACCUCCCAUCCCAUGGAGCAGUAGAGUGAUUGAAAAGGACCAGCGCUCCUCUUUGACAUUCCUACUCAAAGCUACCGAGGUCCACUCCACAGUAUCCGGGACCCUCACUCCCCAGGAGCAGGCUUUGGUCCGGGGUCUGCUCCCUGGGCCUAUACUGAGAUGACACAGCAGAGACUUGGGGCCAGAGCAUGAUGGGCACCGGUACACAUUGCUUUGGGAGCCCUUGGCCAUCUAAGGGGGGAACUGCUGGGAAGGCACAGGACCCCCAGGAGAGGCACACAGAGCCUGGAGACUCCACCUCAAACCCCAGGAAGGCACGCCCCAGCCCCCAGCCCCGACGCAGGCCAGCCAGGCCAGGAUGGGGUAGACUGUUAAUGGGACCUCCUGUUUGAUCUGGUUACUCUGUGAGUGCACUCUAAGGAUAGUCUCUUCAUGGAAGGAUGUGUGCACACCACAAGCUCAUGCAGUGAAUACCAGGAAGCUAUGCUGGCAGCACAUUCUUCCUUAUUCCAGCCAGGGUCUAAUCAUGUGUGUGUAUGUAUGCAUGUAUGCAUGCAUGUAUGUAUGUAUAUGUAUGUGCAUAUAUACACACAUAUAUACGUGUACACAUAUAUACAUAUGUGUAUAUAUGAUGUGUAUUCAUGAACAUACACAUACAUGUGUCAUUAUGCAGCAAGGAGGGUCCAGGAUAAGGCGUGACCUAUCAUUGGAUGAGAAGGAAAGGUAGGCAGGGAAAGGUCUAGGAAGGAGGAGGAGGAGGAAGAGUGAGGAAAAAUCGAGAUGGAGACAACAGAGCAGGUCGGUUUAACUCUUUAUUAAUUGGCAGUGAAUUUGUUGUUGGAUGUAUCGUAGAUUGGGAAUUUAACAUGUAAAUCUAAUUGCUAAGUUACAAGUCUCUGGGACUUUGAUUUACCGGGCUGAAGAGGCCAGUGUGUGAAAGAAAUGGCUGAGAGGCAGUUGGAGCAUGCGGAUCUGGUUCUGUUGGCCACAUGGAGUGAGACUGCGCAAGGGCCCACAGAACGAGAUGUGUGUGGCGGGCGACAGAUGUGGUACCUACCACCUAGGGGACCGUGUGGAGAGGGUGACUGAAAGGGAGACAGCGGCAGGGAGAGGGAGGCUUGCGGAGUGCGGGAUAGAGUAGCAGCUGGAGCAAGCAGAUCCAGCUCUCACUGCAACAUAUAUAUGUAAAUAUUUUUUUAAUAUGGGGCCAUGCUGUGAUGCUCAGAUUGCCCUUGAACUUCUGGGCUGAAACAGUCCUCCUGCCCCAGCUCUAUAAGUAGCCAGGACUUCAGGCUUAUGGCCACUGUGCCCCCUUAUAUGCAUCCUGGCUUGACUCUAAUGGUUCUUCUCUUGCCACGUAACUUUAAGGACCUUGGAUUCUCACAAAGGGGAAAGCAGCUGCCCGUAAUGAUUUACAGAUGGUGUGUAGAUGUGCUCUGCACAUGCCUACAACGUCUUCUUAAAUUUUUUUAAAAUAUUUUAUUUAUUUAUUAUAUAUAUGAGUACACUGUAGCUGUCUUCAGACACACCAGAAGAGGGCAUCAGAUCUCAUUACAGAUGGUUGUGAGCCACCAUGUGGUUGCUGGGAUUUGAACUCAGGACCUCGGGAAGAGCAGUCGGUGCCCUUAACCACUGAGCCAUCUCUCCAGCCCUUAAAUUUUUAUUUAAUUUUUGAGACAGAGUUGCACUCUGUAGCCCAGGUUAGCCCAUAACACAAGCCAAUCCUCCUGCCUCACUCUUCUGAGUGCUGGGAUCACAGGUGUGAGCCGCCAUACCCAGCCCUGAACCCCUCUUGCUAAGCUCUGGAGUAGAGUUGGUUUUGCCUUUAAUCUUCGUCCUGAGAUGGCCCUGGACUGGCCACUGAACUCUGGGCCUCCACUCCCUCGAGGAGGAAGUAAGAACAUUACUCUCAUCUGACAGUUGGAAUUUUGCAUUUGUCCUUCAGAAGGACAGAAAGAAAGGCUAAAUCCCCUAAGCUGAAGACAUCCACAGAGCCUGUCUUUAGCAUCUGGUGGCUUAGACUGUUUUGCUACACGGAAGAGGGAAGAUAGGCAGGAAUUAGAAAUCCUCCUUGUUGCUGUGAAAUUAUAAAAAAUGUUGUCUUUUAUCCCACACUAGGUCUGGCACCGCGGUGCCCCAAGAUAUCUGGUAGACAUCUUCAUCUCAGUCAGCAAAGCGUCUCACCCGCUCUGCUCCAUCCCGUAUCACACUGCCGAUGGCUUCUCUCUGAGCCUGGCAGCAAUCUCUCUACCCAUCCAGUUCCCAAGGCAGGUUGCUACCAUGCCAGAAAUAUACAUCUCAAUUCUGUGGUGGCCUAGUGUCGCCACCAUCACAAUAUCUCUUAAACUUAAAUCGCCACAAGAAAGAACAUACAACACAAUAACCUCGGAUCCAAUUGAUAAGAUAUAAUUGCCCACCUAGACACACGAAAAGCCCUAUACACAUCCUUGCCUUAAGAACAUUCAUAACAACCUGUAAAUACAGAGUGGAAUCUUAACAUUCACCUCCAUAUUCUCUCAGCGGCUUCCCUCUCUCGUCCCCGUCUCCUCCUCUUCUCUAAAACUUUUCUCUCGCCCAACCUUCCUUCUCAGCCAAUGACAGGCCUUGUUCUAUCUUGUACCUGCCUUUAUCUGCGUAAUGACAUCAUCCUACACCUCCUGCCUCAGCUGAGUUCUGGGACGGAUUGUGGGUGAGCACACAGUGCCAUUAUGAUCAUUUGGACCAUGCGUGCAACUUGUCUGUACUGUGGUACUGUGUAACUACACAUUGCCUGGUACCACCCCCUCUGCCUUUCUUGGCCCAGCUCACACUGUUUCUGAUGGCCUUCUUCAGGAUGUAGCUCAGCUGGUAGACCCAUGGCCUGUCAGGCGCAAAGCCCUGGGUUCAAGUCCCAGUUUGACAUAAAAUCAGAUGUGGUUGCACAUGCCUGUGAUCUCAGCCCUGAGAGAUAGAAACAGGAAGUUCAAAGUUCCAAGGUCCUUUUUGGGGGGCUGGAGAGAUGGCUCAGUGGUAAAGAGCACUGACUGCUCUUCCAGAGGACCUGAGUUCAAUUCCCAGCACCCACAUGGUGGCUCACAACCAUCUGUAAUGAGAUCUGAUGCCCUCUUCUGGUGUCCCUGAAGACAGCUACAGUGUACUCACAUAGAGAAAAUAAAUAAAUCUUUUUGUUUUUAAAUGGUCAUCUUUGGUUAUAUAGCAAGUUCAAGGCUACAUAGAACCCUUGCCUCAAAAGGCAAAACAAAAAACAAACAAAAGAAAAGGAAAGGGGUGUGUGUAUUGUGUCAACUCUUGGCCUCCGUUUAUAAAAACAAGGGAGAAAGAAACCUGCCAUGGCCUCAGGGCACCCCCAUCCCAGAUCAGAACAAACCCAACAAACUCUGGCUCUGCGAAGGAUUCUUCCAUUUCUGCACCUCUAACUCCAAAAUCCCCAUAAAAAGGAACUUGGUGACCAGGUGUGGUGGCACGCCAUUAUUCCCAGCACUUAGGCGGAGAUGGGUCUUUGUGAGUCAGGGCUAUCCUGGUCUACACAGAGAGUCCCAAGCUAGGCAGAUCUGUACAGGGAGACCUUGUCUUGUAAACAAAGACCAAACCAACAAAAAGGAUUUAAAAAAAAAAAGGCAGUGAUGGGGGUUGGGGAGCACAGCACAGAAGGAACAGAGAAGGACAGCAUGGUGCUGAGCUGCUCUCCAGGGCUAUGAUACAAUAGCCUUAUUCACUGUACGCAUGAGACUAAAUAAACCAGAGGCUGCCCAAGAGCACUCACCAAGACUUACUUCCUUUGUUUACCACCUCUGUGGAUUCUGUGAAGUCCUCACCUGCCUCUUUUGGACUGUCUAGAGCAGUUCUGGCCUUUCUGGGACUGGGGUAGUCUCUGCAUCUUGUCCCAACCCUCUCUGCCUUUGCCGAACACAAUGUAACUUACUUUUUCCGCUUAGAAAACCCUCAAUUACCUGCAAUCAGAUCACAGGGAUGGCUGGAAACCAAAAGGCAGAUGUAGAAAUGUCAAUAUCAGGCACUGGGGAAGGAGAUCUUGGCUGCUAGGAGUUCCAGAAUCAAUCUGUCUUUAAAUAGACUAAAAGCAGUUCUGCACUGAAAGCCUUCAAGAAGACGUCACUGUGAAAUGGGAUAGAGUUUGUAUACACAACUCAGGUUUGCCUCCAGGAACUGCUGUUCCCGACCAAGAGCAGAAGGCCGUAUACUUGAGACCAUUGACCACCUGAGAAUGCAUGUAGAAAGGCCAUUGAGAGAGUUUUGGUUUGGGCCAUUGUUUUCCUGGGUUAUACAAUGAGCUAGAUACAGUGAACCAUGUCUGUAAUUCCCAGCUCGGAUCCCUUGUCUACAUAAUGAGUUAUGUGAUGUCAGUUAGGCUGUAGACCAUAACUCUCCCUCCCUUCUCCCUCCCCCUCCCCUUCUCUGCCCAGCAGAGUAUCUGACGCACAAUGACACCUGUGGGUAGAAAAGAUGGUGACAAGCAGAUGAACAACACAAGGAAUUCUUUUCACGUUCGCUCUAGUCUGGGGAGUGAGACUCCCUGUGCCGAUCUGAAGCUACUGACAAUCACGGAAAGAAAUGCUAUCACCUCCCAUAAGCCAGUCUCAGUCGUUCCCAGCUCACCACUGAAAACACAAGAUGGGGAUGCUCCAGAAGUGUGGCUUAGUGGGAAAGCUGGUGCUUGGGUUCUUAGAUCCCUCGAAAAGCUAAACAGUUAUCACAGGGCCAACCGUGCCACUCCUACAUAUUUAUUACCAGAGAACAUAAGACAAGCACUCACACAGCUAUUCAAGAGAUGUUCUCUACAGGACUAUGUGCAUUAGCUGAAAAGUAGAGAACCCAAACAGAUGUGUAGUAUUUCGGAGAUGCCUCAGUAGUUAAGAGCAGACAUCGUCCCUUAAAGGAGCUGAAGUGUUGGAUACCUGUACUCAGAUGCGCAUACCCACACAGAUACAUACACAUAACUAAAAAUAAAUCUUGGCCAAGCAGUGGCAGCACAUGCAUUUAAUCCCAGCACUCAGGAGUCAGAGUCAGGCAGAUCUCUGGGAGCUGGAGCCAGCCUGGUCUACACAUCAGGUACUAGGAAUUGAACCUGGGUCCUCUGUAAGGACAGCACAUGCUCUUAACCACUUAGCCAUCAUCUCCUAGCCCCUGAAAUCAUAGCUCAAAGCACACAUCUGCCUUCUUGAAAAAUAAGUGCUGGAGGAGGGGACUGGGGCAAUAGUCAUCUGAUUACACGACUGUGGCAGAUUGUUCGAUGGCCGUACACUGCUUCCUCACCAGUGUACCCACUCCUUUUGUAACAUGUCUGCUGUUCCUCCCAUCAGCAGACAAAGCCCACAUUCAUAAAUCUUAAGUCUAGCCUAGUUUCAUCAUCAGAGUACAGUAGAAGUAAGAUACAUGUUUAUUCCAGAGCCGAGGCCUCACAGCUUCCCUUCUGAGAAGGAUACUGUUGACUGUAUCAGCUGGUCUGGCUUACUGUAGACACAAUACAUAUGUGUAACAUGUAUGUUAGAACUUUCACAUAAUGUGUUGGAAGUCACGUAGUGUCAGAUGUAUAGUCAUUCCCAUUGAUACUCCAAAUAGGGCUCUCCUACCCAUAGCCGGCUCCUGAUCAAUAGUCACUUACCUCUGGUCCUGCCAGCCUCCCUGGAAGUCAUAGGGACAAAGACAGAACGUCAUUAGAAAGUCAACUUGGCUGGGAAUGGUGGCUCACACCUUUAAUCCCAGCACUCAGGAGCCAGAGGCAGGUGGAUCUCUGAGACAGCCAGGUCUACAUAUCGAGUUCUAGGUCAGCCACUGAUACAUAGUAAAAUAAAUAGGUAAACCUACUUCUGUCCUAGCUGUGGAACCCUGGGAAAGUCACACAGGCCAGUAUCUGAAACUGCAUUUCUUCUCUUCGGAUACAGUGAAUAAUGAUAAGCACAUGACAUGUGCAUGUGUACACACACACACUGAGACACACACAUACACAGACACACACAGAGAGACAGACACACACACAGACACACACAGACACACAGACACACAGACACAGACACACAUACACAGACACACAUACACACAGACACACAGACACACACAGACACACACAGACACACAGAUAUACACACAUAUACACAAACACACACAGACAUACACACACAUACACACGUGCGAAAGUGUACAUGUGUGGUUGUAUAGUUCACUUACAGAGUCGUAGAACUAACACCAGAACCUAAUUUUGAAUGGUUUAACCCCCCCUAAAAAAAGCCUCGUGCCGUUUGCUGCCACUCCACGGUUCUGCUGCCCGCCCCGGAGCUCCUCUAAUCUACUCUGUGCUCCGGUACGUGCUUUCUGAGCACUUCGUCCUAGCAUCCUGAGAACCUGUGGCCUUCUGCAUGACGCCUAGUCAUGUACCCGUGUUUUAUUGUCCAACAGUAUUCUAUUGUAUGUACAUACCAAUACUGUUUAUCCGCUUACAUUUAAAUUGUUUCUUCUCACCGUUACGAGUGAUGCCGCAUGAACAUCUGUGUACAUGUUUUUGUGUGAAUCCGUUUUCGUUCCUCCUGAGUAGAUGCCCAUGAGUAAACUUGGUGGCUCACGCAUUCACACUGUGUUCAACACUUUAAGAAUUCUGUGGCACGUGGAUUAUAUUUUAAUAGUGCCAUUAUAAGAGAAAAGGGGAGGGGAGGAAAAAAAAAAACUCCUAAAAAUCCUGGCGGUCAUUUGGAGUAGCUCUGCAUUCUUUAAAUCCCUAGAAUAAAUGAAUUAUUUUCCUAAAUAGGUAAUAAUAACUUUAGAUCUCCUUGGAAAUACCUGGAAAUCACAGGUCUAACCCCGUCAGCUCCCGCUUGACAAUAUAAAGGCCCGUGUGAUCACAGGAGUAAAGCAGGCUACAGACCCACAUAGUUGUUGAAUGGCCAGUGUUGAAAACUGCGUACUUUUGUCAGCAGGCAGGUUCGAAUAUAAGGAUUUUCCAGACCAGGGCUGUCUCCCGCUACUCGGUGAACUCUUCUGACAUCUUCCCAAACAGCUUGGAAGUUGCAGUUGCUGCUAAAAACAAAACAAAAAACAAAACAGUAAGGGAGAGGAUCGUGAGGAGAGAGCUCCGGAGAGCAAGGAAACCUUUCAACGGCUUCUGCUGCGCGCUGGGCACCUGAUACGGAGGCGACUGUGUACUUCCGGCUUCGACCCCCACAACUCCUGAACGUGGAGGAACUGGAGUUCUCACAGGCCGAGGGUGGCGCUAGGAAAUGGUGCGUUUACAUUGUAAAGUUUGAUGGUUUCUUCUCCUAGGGAAGGGGGAAUUAGAUGGAGGAGACAUCCUAGCCCCCACCAAGAGCAUUAGGUAACAGGCGUGUUAGAGAGCAUCUCGGGGUGCGCAUGUGCAUGGGACUCACCAAACGGAAUCUGCAGCACCGUUAAGCAAGGCUUAGCCACAGCUGACCUGAGCUCAAAACCCCACGCAGUCAUUUUCACGGUGGGAGGCAGCCAGAGCUUGCAGCUCAGCAGGAAAAAAAAAAAAUCUGUGUUGACAACCAUAUUGGAGCCUCAACCGUGAGACUUACUGUUGCUACUACACUGUUAUGUAAUCUUACACACCAAAACGUGAUUGGAUUUCAGACCCACACUUGACAGACCAUUUCUUAUGUCUGGCCUUGCUUGUAGCUCUAAUCGGAAACCAGACGCAGACAGUGACACGGGACUAUGGCCGGAGACCAUAUGGUGUGGGGGGCUUCCCGCUGCUUAGGAUGCUAAAAGUCCUCACAUUUCCCAAACCUGUCCAUCUGCUGUUUCAUCUGCAGUUACGUCCACUGGCGUGACUUCAACCAGCUCGCACCUACUUAGAAAAGCAUAUGUCUAAAGUUAUGAAAUGCGAUUUACGCGAACUGGUUAUACAUAGGCCGUGUGAGCCUUGAAAGAGAAACUUUCCGCAGAACAAAACCCAGCUAUAGAGGAUGUUCUCACUGGGACAGCCGGGAAAGACUGAGUCACCCGAAGGUCUCAAGGACCGUUAUGAUGGCAUGGCCUGCAGCGGAGGAACCAAUGGAACACAAAGCGGUAAAUCAAAGCGAUAUCAUCAAAUGAUAUCAUCAAACACGCCAGUGCGCUCAACUCUCUGAUGACAACAUUCUACUGUGAACCAGCAGAUACGGAGCAGUGGACCAAGCAGAUUAGAAAUUCAUGGAGUUUACAUGCCUGGUUUACAUAGUAAGUUCUAGGAUUGUUACACAGAGAGACUCUGUCUCCAAGCCAACCAACCAAAUAAAUAUUUUUCUUUAAUAGCUUUUA